rfam:Bacillus coahuilensis p1.1.43 ABFP000052, whole genome shotgun sequence.
AGGUAAUGUCUCCUCUACCUUUAUCAAGGGAGGCACUCGGUCAUGCUGUGGGUCUUUAGGAUUAAGACCUUAGACACGAAAGUUGUCGAUGGUGGGAUGUGAGGGUGGGUUAAAUGCCCA